AUAGUUACUUAGCAGGGGAGGCACCAUGAUCACGAAGGUGACUUUCCCAGGGUGAGGCUCAUCCAUUGCACUCUGGGUAGUCUGACCCUUGCGAUUUCCCCAAAUAUGGGAAACUUGACUGCAUAAUUUGUGGUGCUCGUGUCCUUUGUUUAAUCUCUAU